rnacentral:rRNA from 1 species
GACGAACGCUGGCGGCGUGCCUAAUACAUGCAGGUCGAGCGGAUGACGGAGGAGCUUGCUCCUCCUGAUUCAGCGGCGGAUGGGUGAGUAACACGUGGGCAACCUGCCCUGUAGAUUGGGAUAACUCCGGGAAACCGGGGCUAAUACCGAAUAAUCCUUCGGACCUCAUGGUCCGAUGUUGAAAGACGGCAUCUCGCUGUCACUACAGGAUGGGCCGCGGCGCAUUAGCUAGUUGGUGAGGUAACGGCUCACCAAGGCGACGAUGCGUAGCCGACCUGAGAGGGUGAUCGGCCAAACUGGGACUGAGACACGGCCCAGACUCCUACGGGAGGCAGCAGUAGGGAAUCUUCCACAAUGGACGAAAGUCUGAUGGAGCAACGCCGCGUGAGUGAAGAAGGUUCUCGGAUCGUAAAACUCUGUUGUGAGGGAAGAACAAGUACCGGAGUAACUGCCGGUGCCUUGACGGUACCUCAUUAGAAAGCCACGGCUAACUACGUGCCAGCAGCCGCAGUAAAAC